rnacentral:rRNA from 1 species
UACGGAGGGUGCUAGCGUUACCCGGAAUCACUGGGCGUAAAGGGCGUGUAGGCGGACCUCUUAGUCUGACUUUAAAUACUGCGGCUCAACCGCAGGCCUGGGUUGGAAACUGGGGGUCUGGACCUCUGGAGAGGGAACUGGAAUUCCUGGUGUAGCGGUGGAAUGCGUAGAUACCAGGAGGAACACCGAUGGCGAAGGCAGGUUCCUGGACCGAAGGUGACGCUGAGGCGCGAAAGUGUGGGGAGCGAACCGG